GGGAAUGUGGCUCAGUGGUAGGGUACGUGCUUAGCGUGCACAAGGCCCUGGGUUCAAUACCCAGCUCAUACA
rnacentral:tRNA from 1 species